rnacentral:lncRNA from 1 species
AUGGGACUGGAAAUCAAUGGAUUUAAUGGGUUUCUUGAAGACUUGUUCUUGGUCAGUGGGGGAAAUCAGAGGUCUGACUUCCUGCACGCUUUUGUGUACUCAAGGAGUGAUAAGGCAUCUGUGUUUGCCACGCUUACUGCACUGCAUGGGGACGAGGUCAGCCCAAGGAAGCCUUCCAGCUCCCUGCAGGUGCAGUGUUUAAAGACGAAGCUGAUUCUUCUGACAGGAAGAUUUGCUUUCACACGUCUGGAGCUGUGCUGGUAGGAUCACCCAUAGGCUGCUUUGCCGUGCUCUGGAGCAGUUGGUGGACACUGCAGGGUGAUUCAUUUAAAUGGAAAAAUGUGAACUACAGGAAAGAUAUGGGACGAAGAUGCAUCCUGUGUGCUCCCACAAGUAGAUGAACAACAAAUGGAGGCGGUUGUUUUCCCAGCAGUAUAGAAUCCAGGCAGAUAUAUGCAUCAGUCACCUGGAAGAGAAGGGAGAGAAUGAAUAUCUUGUCUUCAAAAGACAUCAGAAUGCCAAAGCAGCUCCUCCAGGAGGGCAGUACCAAGCCCUGCACCAGUCACACAGGUUCAGCUCAUGCUCAGAAAUGUAACUUUGCAGUGUAGAGCUCUCUGCUACUCAUAAAUGCUGCUUCCUUGCAGCUGGGUUGCAGCUGGUAAAGUCCUUGCUGACUUUAAUAUAUUUUGCAUUUAUCAGAAGUUGUUUUCUUCUUGUCUUGAAUUUUGCCCCUGUCCAGUAGCAGCCGCUUUGUGCAAACUCACUUUUCCCAGUUUUUAGGAAAAGGGAACCUUCAUCUGUAGGAAUAUGAGCAAGAUAUUGAUAGGGAUUUCUGCAGGGGAAGGCGCAGUUCAGGGUGUGUGGCCUUAGGGCAUAAAUUCCUGGGUCGGCUGAUGCUGAAUUGCACUGUGGUUUCCUAAUACAUGGGGAAAUGGAGAACUGAAGCUUCCAAGGAAAUCCUUUGUUUUAUUCAGAAGAAAGCCUGAAAUCAUCUUGCUCCAUUUUUAUCCAGUGUUUAUGGUUAAUUGGAAUGUGACUAACUCAGGAAAUGAAUUAUUUAAAUUAGAUAAAUGCAGUGUUUUGGCAAGUUUUUCAUGAAAUGUUAGUGAAUAUAUACUUUCUCCUCGUGGCAGUUUGCGUUUUGCCAUUGUAUUCCUUGUUGGGACGAUCUCACGUUCUUUCAAAGGGCCCAGUAAGACCAAAUCAGAAUGUUUUCAGCCUGUGUACGAGCUUGCAUAGCACAUGAGCUGAAAUCAUCCAACGUUUGUUUUUGAAUGCUGAAUCAGUC